rnacentral:rRNA from 1 species
UACGUAGGGGGCAAGCGUUGUCCGGAAUCAUUGGGCGUAAAGCGCGCGUAGGCGGCCCGGUAAGUCCGUUGUGAAAGUCAAAGGCUCAACCUUUGAACGCCGAUGGAUACUGCCGGGCUAGAGUCCGGAAGAGGCGAGUGGAAUUCCGGGUGUAGCGGUGGAAUGCGCAGAUAUCAGGAAGAACACCCGUGGCGAAGGCGGCUCUCUGGGACGGUACUGACGCUGAGACGCGAAAGCGUGGGGAGCGAACAGG